GGUAGUUCCCAGGUGACGGACCCCUGAAUUGGGCUCCCUCCUCUCUGGUUCCGGGGUGAGACACCCAAGAACCGCU
rfam:Myotis lucifugus cont2.31556, whole genome shotgun sequence.